UACGAAGGGGGCUAGCGUUGCUCGGAAUUACUGGGCGUAAAGCGCACGUAGGCGGCUUGGUCAGUUAGGGGUGAAAUCCUGGAGCUCAACUCCAGAACUGCCUUUGAUACUGAAGAUCUUGAGUUCGGGAGAGGUGAGUGGAACUGCGAGUGUAGAGGUGAAAUUCGUAGAUAUUCGCAAGAACACCAGUGGCGAAGGCGGCUCACUGGCCCGAUACUGACGCUGAGGCACGAAAGCGUGGGGAGCAAACAGG
rnacentral:rRNA from 1 species